UCCACUCUGCUGCUGAUGUCUGCUAAAGGCAGGACUGUGAGGACAGGCCCACAGAGGACUCUUCUGUCUGUGUGUCUGUCCAGCUGUUUGUUCUUCCCAAUUGACCAGCAGGCACAGAGUGGGAAGUAAGAUCAAAAGCAGAGAGAUGGAGAAAUAGCUGUGUCAGCAUUGGAGUUCUAAUCUGGCCACUCAGAGAAUGGUCCAUAAACCAGCAGCAUCAGCGGCACAUGAGAGUAUAUUGGAAAUGCAGAAUCUUGGAAGCUGCCCCAGACCUGCUGAAUCAGACCCUGCAUUGUAGGGAGGAGAAGGAGGUGUUGCAGCAGCGAGUGGUGGCCGGAAGCAGACAGAAGCAGAGCCGGGGUUCCAACCGCUGUCAGUCAAGAAGCUCUCCUGCUUUGCUGUCUCCCCUCUGAUGUUUCUUUUGAGACAGGAGCUCACGUAUCCCAGGCUGGUCUUGAACUGUCUGUGCAGCCAAGGAUAAACCUGAACUUUUCUGGUCCUCUUGCCCCUACCUUCCAAGUGCUGGGCAUACAGGUUUGAGUCACCAAGCCAGGUUUAAUGCAGUACUGGGGGCUGAAUGCAGGGCUUCAUGCGCUAGGCAGACACUCUACCAAGUGAGCUACAAACAAAGCCCUCUGUGCCAAUUUUUGUGCAAACCAGACUUAAGAAACUGAGCUUGAAGGAAAACUAGACAUAUCCACUAGAGGCCUUGUGACCACUACAUUGUCACUAUGGUCUGAGUGUUUGUAUCCAUCCAAAACUCAUAUGUUGAGUCAAAUUCUCAUAAUAACAUUAAAAGGAGAGUGAUAUUUUAACUUCAGGUGGCUACACCUUAAUCUACUGCUAUUUCAACCAGCAACUGUGACUCUGAAGUUACCAACCUGCUUCUCUGGCAGCAGCCUGGCCACUCAGGCCACAGCCUGGCAGGAAUUCUCCUUUGCAGGCAGCAGCCCUGUGGCUGCCAAUAAAGGUAGCUUUAACUAAAUCUCUAUUUUCCUAUUUAUAAAUAAGACUCAAGAUUUAAAAGGUUGGGGUGAAAACCUGCUAGCUCAGAGAAGUUGAGUAGCCUUGCUAGCUUCUCCCAAAGAGAGUAUCCUUCUGCUCUACCAAAACAACAACAACAAAACAAACAAACAAACAAAAAUAUGCUACUUAAAAAUCCCUCCCUGCUACUUCCGGCGCAUCUCUCUAUCUCUUCCAGAUGCUCUCUGAUGCUCUCUGAUCACUUUCUGUCAACUAGUUGCUAACUCAGCCUCUUGACCCAGGUUAAUUUUAUUUAAUUAACAGAAAUGCAAACGAGGUUCACGGUGUGAUUGAAUAUCCCCCAACAGGGGAGGGGACUCAAUUAGUAGAAUGCUUGUGCUGGACUCAUCCUCCACUGCCUAUUAAGCUCAAGGCCAGCCUGAGGUAUACAAGCACCAGUCAAAAGCAAGCAAGCUGUGGGGUCUUUGGUCAGCUAUUAAGUCAUGAAGACAGAGAUCUCAUAAAUGGGAUUGGCAUCUGUACUUGCUUGAAUAUGAAAUGGCAACUAUUGCUGGUGGUGUUAUUUUGGAAGGUUCUAGAAACUCCAGGAGUGGAGCCUAGUUGGAGGAAGUUGGUCAUUCAAGUUGUACCUUUGGAGAUUAUCUUUGGUCCCUUCCUUUACACUGGUUCCCCAUAAGGUAUGUAGCCUCAGGGUUGGGGAUUUAGCUCAGUGGUAGAGCGCUUGCCUAGCAAGC